GUAGCUAAUACCGCAUAACGUCGCAAGACCAAAGAGGGGGACCUUCGGGCCUCUUGCCAUCGGAUGUGCCCAGAUGGGAUUAGCUAGUAGGUGGGGUAACGGCUCACCUAGGCGACGAUCCCUAGCUGGUCUGAGAGGAUGACCAGCCACACUGGAACUGAGACACGGUCCAGACUCCUACGGGAGGCAGCAGUGGGGAAUAUUGCACAAUGGGCGCAAGCCUGAUGCAGCCAUGCCGCGUGUAUGAAGAAGGCCUUCGGGUUGUAAAGUACUUUCAGCGAGGAGGAAGGGGGUGGGGUUAAUAACCGCAGCGAUUGAAGUUACUCGCAGAAGAAGCCCCGGCUAACUCCGUGCCA
rnacentral:rRNA from 1 species